GACGAACGCUGGCGGCGUGCUUAACACAUGCAAGUCGAACGGAAAGGCCCUGCUUUCGUGUGGUGCUCGAGUGGCGCACGGGUGAGUAACACGUGAGUAACCUUCCCUUGACUUUGGGAUGACUUCAGAAAGGUGCGGAUAAUACCGGAGAGGAGCUCCUGCUGGAUGGUGGGGGUUGGAAAGUUUCGGCGGGUGGGGAUGGACUCGCGGGUUAUCAGCUUGUUGGUGGGGUAGUGGCUUACCAAGGAUUUGACGGGUAGCCGGCCUGAGAGGGUGACCGGCCACAUUGGGCCUGAGAGACGGCGCAGACUCCUACGGGAGGCAGCAGGCGGGAAUCUGGCACAAUGGGCGGAAGCCUGAUGCAGAAGUGCUGCGUGCGGGAAGACGGCUUACGUGUGGUAAACCGCUGUCGGCUGUGACCAAGCGUGAGUGACGGUAACGGGUAAAGAAGCACCGGCUAACUACGUG
rnacentral:rRNA from 1 species